AUGACGCUUUCAACUGAAUGUGUCUAACAUUCAACAAGGAAAGUGGGUUGGACCAUGUCUCAAAAUAUACAAUAUCAUCAAAGAAAGUUGAAGCCUCAAGCUCACUUCAAUCGGACAUGGCUCAGUAUAGGAGGAAGAUGAGAAUUCCAGAUUGAAUCUCUGCUGCCAUCAAAUCACAUUACGUCGACAAAAGAAUUGUUGGAUGCCUUGGUGGUGAAUAUGGUGAGUUUAGUUGUUUUGUUAUCCAAAUUAGACUGUA